GACGAACGCUGGCGGCGUGCCUAACACAUGCAAGUCGAACGAAGAAUGUUUUUCGGAAUAUUCUUAGUGGCGGACGGGUGAGUAACGCGUGAACAAUCUGCCCCGUACAAAGGGAUAGCCUCGGGAAACCGGGAUUAAAACCAUAUAACACUUAACUGCCGCAUGGUAGUGAAGUCAAAUCGAUUAAGAGGUAUGGGAUGAGUUCGCGUCUGAUUAGCUAGUUGGUGAGGUAAGGGCUCACCAAGGCGACGAUCAGUAGCCGGCCUGAGAGGGUGAACGGCCACACUGGAACUGAGACACGGUCCAGACUCCUACGGGAGGCAGCAGUGGGGAAUAUUGCACAAUGGAGGGAACUCUGAUGCAGCGACGCCGCGUGAGUGAAGAAGGUCUUCGGAUCGUAAAACUCUGUCCUUGGUGAAGAAAAGGACGGUAGCCAAGGAGGAAGCCCCGGUAACUACGUG
rnacentral:rRNA from 1 species